AGGUGUAGCGCAGUUGGUAGCGCGCCUGGUUUGGGACCAGGAUGCCGCAGGUUCGAAUCCUGUCACCU
rnacentral:tRNA from 1 species